AUGAGGCGGUGCUGUCUAGGUGACUGUGAGGGUCCCCUGCAGCCAUGCACGCCAGCCCCCGGCUCCCGGAGCACAGUACGUGGGGUCAUUAAGUGCCGGUACUGCAGGAGGGGAAGGGGACCGCGGAGCAAAGUGGCCCGGAGCCUCCGAACCCAGUACAGACCCUCUCCCACGCACCCCCUUCCCGGCCCGGAGGAACCCUACCGACCUGCCCCCGGGGGUUGCAAAACCCGGAGCGGAUUCUCGGAAUGGGUUCUGGGAGGAGCGCUCCCGGAGGGAGGAGGAAAACCCGGGCAGGAUCCGCGGCAGGAGCGGGGCCCCACGGCCCCUCGGCCCCCAGCCCUGCCCCGCGCGGCCGGCGGGCCCAGGGGGUUUGAAGCCCCGCUGCGCCGCGGGGAAGGAGCCGGGCCGGGCCCCGCGGGCCGCCCGGGGCCCGGGGCUCGGGGGCCGGGGGGGGGGGCGCGCGGCCUCCGCACUGGGGCGCGGGUCACGUGUGAGGAGGGGCGAAAGUCUCGCAAAGCGGGGCGGCGUGCCGCGAGUUGGGAGUUCUCGGCGCGCCGCGGGCGGCGGGAGCUCGGGCUCCCGGGCGAGCCGGGGACGCGGCGGAGGCGCGGGCCUGGGUCCGAGACAGCGGGGGCCGCACCGAGAGUGGGAGGGAGGGAGAGACACGCAGAAGGACAGACGGCGCCCGGGAGGAGGACAGAGAGAGACGCGCAGGGGAGACCGAGACAGGGCAGAGGCGGAGGGAGGCAGGGGAGGCUCUGGGAGGGCGGCGGGCAGCAGACCGAGCCCCCGCCGGGAGACACGGGAGGCGGGCUCGGGGACCGAGGGGCGGACGGACAGACGCACGGAGACCCCGGGGGCAGCCCGGCGGGCGGCGGCGGGUCCCGGGCCGGCCGGCCGGCCGAGGGCUUCCCGGGGCCGGGGCGGGGAGCGGGGAGCGGGGAGCGGGGAGCGGAGCGCGGGGCGGGGAGCGGAGCGCGGGGCGGGGAGCGGCGCGGAGAGACAGCGCGACGGCAGCGGGGGGGCGGCGGAGGGCCGGCGGCUGCGGCGGGGGCGGGGGGCGCGAGCGCGGGCGGCCGAGGCCAUGGGCCCCCGGAUCCCCGCGCCCUGAGCCGGGCCCGGCCCGACGAUGCUGACGCCCAGGCGGCGCCGGGGGCGCGGCGCGGGGCAGCGCUGAAAGUUGAGCGGCCCGCGGGGAGCGGCGCGGGACGGCCCCGAGGCGCGGAGACCCGGACACCGACGGACAGACCCACCGGCAGCCGGGGAGGGGGGCGGGGCCGGCCGGCCGAGUGCGCGGGGAGGGGGCGCCGGGACUCCCCUCUCCCCGCCCGGGACGCCGCCCGCCCGCCCGCGCCGUGGGAUGUAGAGCCCGCUCGCCGCCUUCUGGACCUUCGUCGGACCCUCCGCCCCGCGGUAAGCCGGGCGCACGCCCACCGCCGGCGCUGA
rnacentral:lncRNA from 1 species